CCUACGGGCGGCAGCAGUGAGGAAUAUUGGUCAAUGGGCGGGAGCCUGAACCAGCCAAGUCGCGUGAGGGAAGACGGUCCUAUGGAUUGUAAACCUCUUUAGGCGGGGAGCAAUGCCGGGCACGUGUGCCCGGAGGGAGAGUACCCGCAGAAUAAGCAUCGGCUAACUCCGUGCCAGCAGCCGCGGUAAUACGGAGGAUGCGGGCGUUAUCCGGAUUUAGUGGGUUUAAAGGGUGCGUAGGCGGAUUUUUAAGUCAGCGGUAAAAUGUCCGGGCUCAACCCGGGCCGGCCGUUGAAACUGGGGAUCUUGAGUGGGCGAGAAGUACGCGGAAUGCGUGGUGUAGCGGUGAAAUGCAUAGAUAUCACGCAGAACUCCGAUUGCGAAGGCAGCAUACCGGCGCCCGACUGACGCUGAGGCACGAAAGCGUGGGGAUCGAACAGGAUUAGAUACCCCAGUAGUC
rnacentral:rRNA from 1 species